CUGGAGGGCCCGUUUCUGUAGCAUUCAGGGAUUGGGUUGUUGUCCAACCAAGGAACCAGUUACCUUCAUGCAAUUAAGAAUUCCUCUGAGGACACAUUGUUAAGUCAUAAUAUUCCACCAUUUAAUCUGCAGGUGCUUCUGAAUGAAAAUGAGAGGCGUCCGGGAUCAUCAGAGAAGCGUUGAUCACUUAAAGUGACGGAGCAUCAAAAACCAGUUCUGCUUUUAAAUUCAUGUAAGUUUAUCUCUCCUCCACGCCAUUCUACACCUGGACCGAAACCAUGUUAGAGACCGGACCUCAACCACCAUCAGCGUCUCAGCUCUGGAGUUUAUCUAUUUAAAGUCUGAACUGCCGGAGCCAAACCACUGAAAGACUUUGGACCAUUUCAUGCACAAAUUUGUAUCACAAAUAAAUCUAUUUUAUAUGCGUUCCUGAGAUCUUUUCUUAUUUAAAUUCUGAUAAUGGACUUGGGACAAAGCGGGGAAACAUAAUGGAUGGAUCACUGAAGACUUUUCAUUGGAUUAUAAUGAUGACCAAGACAAUACAACUCUUGUUUUAAUAUGUCUGUGAUACAUAAUACUUAAUACUGCAUAAUUAUUCCUUUAUACAAACAAGCUGACCUGUUGAAAAAGGAAAAAGAUAAAUAAGAUUGAUUUUAGUCAUUAAAAAAAAAUUCAAAAAUAAAAUAAUAAUUUUGCUUUUUUUUCAUACAGUUGAAUUUUUAAAAAACAGAUUAAAAAACAAAAACGUGAUUAAAUAGGUAAUGAGCAGAAUAUCUCUACAUCUGAGUCCCAGAGAACACUUUACGCUUCACAAUUUACAGCCUCUUUAACUCCUUUUCAGUACUGCAGACUUGUGGACAAGAGUUGUAGAGUAAAACAAAAUGAAAAAUCAUUAAAAGUUGCAUCAAACUCAAAAUAAACACAAUGAAAGCACAGUUCAAAUAAAGUAAAUAACAUCUAAGCCUUUAAAGGCAUCAUUCCACUAAAUACUCCUAAAAUCAGAAUCUGUUAAACACAAAAAUACCAGGAUCAUAACAGAAACAUUUACUGCACAUAUCUGAUAUUUAUGUCUAUCCAGCAUAGAAACACUUCAAAUGACAUAACCAAAACAGACUGGCAAGCACAGAUGAAAGUAAUCUCUCUCAAUCUGAAGUUGGCGAUAAAAGUC